CCUACGGGUGGCAGCAGUGGGGAAUAUUGGACAAUGGGGGGAACCCUGAUCCAGCGACGCCGCGUGAGUGAAGAAGUAUUUCGGUAUGUAAAGCUCUAUCAGCAGGGAAGAAAAUGACGGUACCUGACUAAGAAGCCCCGGCUAACUACGUGCCAGCAGCCGUGGUAAUACGUAGGGGGCAAGCGUUAUCCGGAUUUACUGGGUGUAAAGGGAGCGUAGACGGUGCAGCAAGUCUGAUGUGAAAGGGCGGGGGCCAACCCCGGGACUGCAUUGGAAACUGUUGAACUGGAGUACAGGAGAGGUAAGCGGAAUUCCUAGUGGAGCGGUGAAAUGCGUAGAUAGUAGGAGGAACACCAGUGGCGAAGGCGGCUUCCUGGACUGUAACUGACGUUGAGGCUCGAAAGCGUGGGGAGCAAACAGGAUUAGAUACCCGAGUAGUC
rnacentral:rRNA from 1 species